CCCCCGAACAGGGGAGUGAAAUAGUACCUGAAACCGUUUGCUUACAAAUCGGUCGGAGCCUUGUCGCAAGACAGGGUGACGGCGUGCCUUUUGCAUAAUGAGCCUACGAGUUAUCCUUACUAGCGAGGUUAAGACUUUAAGAGUCGGAGCCGAAGCGAAAGCGAGUCUGAACAGGGCGUAUAGUUAGUAGGGGUAGACGCGAAACUUUGUGAUCUAUCCUUGGUCAGGCUGAAGUUCCGGUAAAACGGGAUGGAGGGCCGAACCAGUAGACGUUGAAAAGUCUUUGGAUGAACUGAGGAUAGGGGUGAAAGGCUAAUCAAACUGAGAAAUAGCUCGUACUCCCCGAAAUGCAUUUAGGUGCAGCCUCGGACGGAGUCUUGCAGAGGUAGAGCUACUGAUAAGGCUAGAGGGCUUCACCGCCUAUCGAUCCUUGACAAACUCCGAAUGCUGCAAGAUGCUCUCCGGGAGUGAGCCUGCGGGUGCUAAGGUCCGUGGACGAGAGGGAAAGAACCCAGAUCAUCAGCUAAGGUCCCUAAAUAUAUGCUAAGUUGAAUUAACGAAGUGCGACUGCUUAGACAGCUAGGAUGUUGGCUUGGAAGCAGCCAUUCAUUUAAAGAGUGCGUAACAGCUCACUAGUCGAGCGGUUGUGCGUGGAUAAUAAUCGGGCAUAAACAUAUCACCGAAGCUGUGGAUUCGUCGUAAGACGGAUGGUAGGGGAGCAUUCCAGUCCUGCGUUGAAGGUGUACUGUAAAGUAUGCUGGAGCGUCUGGAAAAGAAAAUGUAGGCAUAAGUAACGAUAAGGCAGGUGAGAAACCUGCCCACCGAAAGACUAAGGUUUCCUGAUCAACGUUAAUCGGAUCAGGGUUAGUCGGGACCUAAGGGUAAGCCGAAAGGCGAUCUCGAUGGACAAUUGGUAAAUAUUCCAAUACCACCGCAUGUUGCGAUGGGGUGACGAAGUAGUGAAAGAACCGCCUGGUGACGGACAUCCAGGUUAAAGGGUGUAGUUAUAUACAUGGGUUAACAGCUUGUGUAUGAUGAACCUGAUAGUACCGUGAGGCUUCGGCUGAGCGGAUAGUGUUCCUAAUCAGACUUCCAAGAAAAUCCUCUAAGCUUCAGACAUGUGGUGCCCGUACCACAAACCGACACAGGUAGUCGAGGAGAGAAUCCUAAGGUGCUCGAGUGAUCCGUGGCUAAGGAACUAGGCAAAUUGAACCUGUAACUUCGGGAUAAAGGUUCCCCUGUUUAUCAAUGGGGGCGCAGAGAAAUGGCCCUGGCGACUGUUUAACAAAAACACAAGGCUUUGCGAAAUUGAAAGAUGAAGUAUAAGGCCUGACACCUGCCCGGUGCCGGAAGGUUAAGAGGGGGAGUCAUUCUCAGCAAUGGGAAGAAGCUCUGAAUCGAAGCCCCGGUAAACGGCGGCCGUAACUAUAACGGUCCUAAGGUAGCGAAAUUCCUUGUCGGGUAAGUUCCGACCUGCACGAAUGGUGUAACGAUCUGGGCAC
rnacentral:rRNA from 1 species